GCAUCCAGGGAGAAUGAAAUUAGUGUUUCUUUUCUUUUCAGGCUUAUUGUUGAAAAAUUAAUAAUCUUCUGGAGGUCUGCUAUUAAAAUAGAAUUAGCAGUGACCUCAUAGAGAGCCCUAAAACUUACAAAUUGUGUUCCCUCUUGCCUUCACUGGUUGGGUGCAAUCCAAAAGGCUUCUAAAAACAUCACUGAAAAUAUGAAGGGGGGGAAUUAUACUUUUUUUAAACUUUCUCUAAUCUAGGGUUUUUGAGCUUAGUUAUAGGGGCCAACAAGUACAGUAAAGCAAGGCAUUCUUUAUUUUUUUAAAGUAUUGUUGAUUUAUAAUAUUAUGUUAGUUUUAGGUAGACAUCAAAGUGAUUCAGUUUUAUAUAUAUAUACAUAUAUAUAUAUAUCUGCAAUAUAUGUAUAUUUUUCAGAUUCUUUCCAUUAUAAGCUAUUACAAAAUACUGAAUUUAGUUCCCUUUCCUCAACAGUAAAUCAUUAUUGCUUGUCUCUUUCAUGUACAGUAAUUUGUAUCCAUUAAUUUCAUACUCCCAAUUUAUCCCUACCCCCUACCCUUUCCCCUUCAAUAACCAUAAGUUUGUUUUGUAUUUUUUUCAGUCUGUUUCUGUUUUGUAAAUAAGUUCAUUUGUAUCCUUUUAUUAGAUUCCAUGUAUAAGUGAUGUUUUAUGAUACUUGUAUUGGUCUGACUUCACUCAUUAUGAUAAUCUCUAGGAUCCUUCUACAUUGCUGCACAUGGCAAAUUUCAUUCUUUUUCAUGGCUGAGUAGUAUUAUAUAAAUGUAUACCACAUCUUCUUUAUCCAUUCAUCUGUAGAUGGACACUUAGGAUGCUUCCAUGUUUGAAGCCAAGCAUUCUUUUUUUUGAGUAAAUAUUUAGGAUUCAUUAAUUUUGCAUUACUAAAAUUUUGUAUCCUUUGAUAUAUACUUCCUCAUUCCCUUUCCCUCCAGUUCUUAGUAAUAAUCAUUCUCUACUCUAUGUGUUUGACUAUUUUAUUCUUAUCUUUUAAUUAUUUUUAUUUUUUCCAUUAUAACUGGUUUACAGUGUUCUGUCAGUUUUCUACUGCACAGCAAAAUGACCCUGUCACAUAUAUAUUUAUACAUUCUUUUUCUCACAUUAUCCUCCAUCAUGCUCCAUCACAAGUGACCAGACAUAGUUCCCAGUGCUACACAGCAGCAGGAUCUCAUUGCUUAUCCAUUCCAAAGGCAAUAGUUUGCAUCUUUUAACCUGAGAUUCCCAGUCCAUUCCACUCCUACCCCUUCCCCUUUGGCAAUCACAAGUCUGUUCUCCAAGUCCAUGAGUUAUUUUUGUGUGGAAAGGCUCAUUUGUACUGUAUAUUAGAUUCCAGAUAUAAGCGAUAUCAUAUGGUAUUUGUCUUUCUCUUUCUGACUUACUUCACUUAGUAUGAGAGUCUCUAGUUCCACUGUUGCUGCAGAUGGCAUUAUUUUGUUCUUUUUAUGGCUGAAUAGUAUUCCGUUGUGUAUAUUUACCACGUCUCCUUAAUCCAUUCAUGUGUUGAUGGAUAUUUAGGUUGUUUCCAUGUCUUCACUAUUGUGAGUAGUGCUGCAAUGAACAUAGGGGUGCGUGUCUCUUUUUUAAGGAAAGUUUUGUUGGGAUAUAUGCCAAAGAGUGGGAUUUCUGGGUCAUAUGGUGGUUCUAUAUUCAGUUUUCUGAGGUACCUCCCUACUGUUUUCCAUACCAAGCAUUCUUGAUACUUAUCAAUAGGUGCUGAGUGCUGAGCCUAUGAAUGUUAGCAUGAUACUGAUUUGUUCCUCUUCCUCUUCUUCAACUGGUCUGCUACUUUGAUCAAGUACGUACUGUGUGCUUAGUACCACGUGCAUUAUGGCUUCAUAUAAAUGAUUUCUCUUAGUCUUCUGUGAGGUCACAUAACCAUUGUCUUACAGAUGAGGAAUCAAAGCUUAAAAAGAUGAUAUUUUAGGUCAUGCAGCCUGCAAACAGUGUAGCUAGGACUGAUUCCUGAACUUUGUUUUCAACCUUGACACUGCAGUUUAUAAAAUGCCAAGAACUCACAAGCAUAUAGAAAGAUAAGAAUCUUACCAGGUCAGAGAAUUAUUGUUUCAGGGGAAGACUCCCUCUCUACCUUCUUCCUUUUGUCAUACAGAUCUGGGAAGUUAUGAGGUUGUAGAGGGAUGAAACUGGAGAAGUUAAUUUCAACUUGGAAUAUGAGAGGUCAUUUCUUUGAGUUGACCUUGGCCCAGGCCAUGCUGUGAGUCCAUGGUGGGCUAUGCUUUAUGAUCAAUGUAGCACCUAAUAUUAUGCCGCUGACCACCCUCUGCCUCCUGGAUGCUUGAAGGUAAUUUUCAUUACCUUGGAAAAGCAGGGACCAUUACUACAGGGAGGAGUGGGAGGUAGGUCCUGUCCUGUUGUGAUUCUUUCUCUCCUUUCCUCGGAAGCUGAGAAAGUGUCUCCUGUUUUCAGCUCUCAUGCCUCGGAUCUAGCUGAGAGGAUAACCCCUCUGAAUGGAGGCCAUGCUAAUAGGUAGCUUUUAUUGCUGUGGAAGACUAUCUGGGUCAGGGAUCAGGCUGCUCAUACUCACAAGUAAAUACAGAAAAGUAAUAGCAUUUGUGUUUGCUCUUUUCUCUGUCAGGAAUGUUCUCCCCUUCUUAUAAUUCAGCUCUCAGUGCAAAUGUUACUUCUUCAUCCAGCAUUCCUCACCUCAUUAAGAUUGGGUAGUCAAUCUUAAACAUCCCCCUCCAAUAUCAUCCCACUGUGUUUAAUUUCCUUCAGAGAAAGCAUUUUUAUUCUCUGAAAUCAGUAGUUACAAUCAGUCUCUAUAAUGAUAUAUAACUAGUUAUAGUGAUAUUACACAUGGUAUGUAAUAAUAUACCUAGUUAUCACUGGUUAUAGUCUCCUUAAGGACAGGGGUCUUUUGUUCAACACUCUAUGCUCAGCUUCUAGAAUUAGUGUCCGAUAUACAGAGGGUGGUUAUUAAUUGUUGGUUAGAUGGAUGAAUGAUAUUUUCUUUGUGUAGGACUAGCAAAACAGUCUGUAAAAUGCAACUAGAGCUGACAAAACUUGUGCAUAGUUUAAGUACACAUUUCCCUUUACAGUAAAUUUCAGAAAGUGGGGGGAUUCGUUCUUUCAACUGACCAUACCAGCCAACUUUCUUCCAACAGUUCUAAGAGAGAGAUUGUGCCCUUCAUCCACCCUUGCCCCAUUCUGCCAGAGGAAAAUGAUAAAUUCUUUUCGACCUAGAUGCUCUGUUUUCUACAAUGUCUUGUACUUUCUUUGUGUCAUUUUGUGUGUAUGCAUGUGCAUGCAAGGGUGCGGUGCCAUCUAACACACCCUCUAUGUUACAUAGUGCUUUCAUUUCUGCCCUCCUGUUGAAUGAAUCCAUUGGGAGAAUGCUUAUGGCAUGGGCCAGAUACUGGUCAUAGUGGGCCAGGAACAUGGCCACAUAUCUCCCUAUUGGGACACUUUCUUAUCAGACACCACUCAGUCAAGAGGGGAAGUCACUCUCCAGAUUUCAAAACAGGAAGGCAAAAAGUAAGAUAAACUUCCUUUUGCAACCCAGAAUGAAGUUCUUUGCUUAAGCUAGUGCCAUUUCCCACCUGUGUCCACCUCUAGUGCUCCCAAGGGAUAUAACCCAUGAAGAAACAUAGGCAUUUUAGGCUCCCAAUUGAUUAAUCCUACAAACCAUUCAUUAUUCAUUGCACACCUGUGGUACUCGGCUUUAGUGCUACAUUCCAUAGAGGAUACAGAUGGCAUGAACUUGCAUUCUAGGGUUCCAUAUUCAGGGGGGGGAGGGAUAUGAGUCUUUAACACAAUGUAAUUAAGGAUAAGUUAGUUUUUAGGACAAUAUUGUAUUGUUAUUGCAUCAUUUCAGGUUUGUAAAUCUUGUGUCCAAAAAAAGAUUGUAAAUUAUAGGGAUGGUGUGAUUACUUCUACAUUUUUAGUGACAGUGCUUUGUACAGCCCUGGAUACGAAAUAGACCCUCGGGGGGAGGGGAAUGGUUGUUUGAAUGUUAGGCAGCCCUACAGAAGUUGGUCUAGGCUGCUUUUUUAUUAAUUGAAAGGAAUGAUAAGUGGAGCAGAAUUUCUGUUCUCAUCCUAGGGCACAUUUCAGGAAAAGAGUCACAGGAGCCAUCUCUAGAAGUGCCACUGAAUAGCUGAAGGAGAUUGGCUUUAAGUUGACCCAGAAGGUCUCAGGGUGUCUCCAGAAAAGGUGAAGCUGUAUAACUAUUCAAGUCAUGUCUGGGAGACCGAGUAGCACUUUGACACUUGGUGUCCUGGGCUCUCCAACUAGUUACACUCUUGCCAAACUCUCAGGAGCCCCAGCUCUGUUGGAGACCUGGAAACUGCAUGGCCUCAGUGUCAUUGUCUGCCUGCUUUUGUUGGUAUGCCUGCUCUUUCAGUGAGUUCAAGUUUGCCCUUCUUUUGUUCAAUUCAUUUCUCUGACCAACUUCCCUGAACUUCAUUCAAAUGCCAUGUGUAUGUUUUUGAAGCUUGGCCUAAAAUUCAUGGGAGAGCCUUGGGAAACUUUUAGGUUUCAGGUUGUACAGAGGUCACAUUGCUUUGAGUUUCAGAUUGCAACUGAUGUUUUUAAAAGACUAAAAGCAGGACUCCAGCUGCACCUUCUGAGUUUUACCAGAUGUGUUAGCAGAAAAGCACGAAAGAGAGAAAGACAGAUUGGAAUCAUAUCUCAGUAUUUCAAAUGGAUUUAGUGUACUUGGACUCUGAUAUUUCAUAGGUGGUUGUUACUGUUCAUCACAGUAAACUAAAAAUAUAAGAGAGAAAUAAAAAAGCACUAGAGAAAAUGAUGGAUCUUGCAUUCCUAGUACUCCUAACCUAAGAACUUGGGAAGUUCAAGAUUCUCACAGUCUUUGCUUUGGGCUGUCCUUCCUGCUAUGGCUUUUGUAAGGUCCCCUAGUUUCUGUAGACUUCUGUACCCUUAUCUGUCUAAAGGAAGGAAAGAACCAAACCUGUAUUCCCAGAGCCUUAGGCUUUUGCGUAAAUGACUCAGCAGAGAGAUAUUUUGGAAGUUCACAUUGUGGCAAAUCUCAGUAACAGAAGUAAGAAACACCUCAAGAGGUCUCACACCAUUUUUUCCCCCAAAGCAGUUCUGCAACCAGCUACUCAAAAAGACAAGUUAUUUAAUCUUUGAUUUUGAAAAUAUUUCUUGAAAAUUAGAUUUUUUUAGAGAAACUUUAUUUCCCACUAUCUCUUAUUGUGCAUUGAGGCAUGUGUGGGACAACAUGGGCUAAAAGCUAAGAGAAGUGGAUGGAAUGAGCUUCCCUGAGUGAUCAUUCUAGCCAGAGCCUCUUUGGUGUGCACUUGGGGGUUCCUCUUCCAUAUUGUCCUUGGGAUCUGCUUCUCUGAUAUGUCCACCCAUGAUUUGGCCCCUAAGUCCAGAGUUGUCUCUGAGGUAUUAUUCAGUUGCUACAAGAGAUGUCACAUGGAUGAGAGAAUAUAAAAAGAGGAGAAGCGUUUUCCCUUUAAAACAGAGAAAGCUAGUGAGUAUGGCACUCAUGUUUGCAAUCAAACCUUUUUCCUUACCAUUUUAGGUCCCUCUUGUUCACAGUAAGAGUCGUGCUUUUAGUUAUACCAUCUAUACUUCAUAAUGAACCGCCAGACCUUGAAGCCAAGCCAUGUCGAGUUGAAAGUACUUUAAGCUCCUCAUUCAUCUAAAACCUCAUCUCAACACAGAACUUUGAUUUUCCCUGAAGCUUCUCAAAUUGACUUCUUUCACAGGGGGAAAAAAAGAAAAAACCUUUACAGGCAGUAAGUUCUUUGGACUCCCCUAUUUUUAUUUCCAAACUGGCAUAUUGCCAUUUCCUCUGUCAUAUGCAUUGUGGCCUUAUUGUAUUCCUUGCCAUUUGAUCUCCUCAAGUACCCCGGCCUCAUUAGCCUCUUCCCUGACAUUGAGAGGCUUUGCCUUAUGCUGAAUAUAAAAUGCCACAUUCCAGUUCUAUGAAAAAUUAGAGAGCUUCAGAUUUUAUCUGGUUUGCUCAUGGUAUUAAAAUGUACAAGAACAUACUGUCGAUAGCUAAGGUACAAAAAAAUGAUCAAAUCUACAUUUGUUAAAGACCAAAUUUAAGCCGGCUCUUAAAUUCCUCCAUUAACUUUAUACUUUGUAGUUUAUGCAUCUUAUCUCAGUUUUCCUUUCUUGGGACUCUGACAUUCCAUCCAUCAAAAGAAUAUAUGCCCUCUAUGUUUAAGUGACUUCAUUUAUUAAGUGGAUAAAUUAAUAGUACCUCCUUUCUUGGAUUGUUCGUGGAUUAAAACAGAUACCACAUGUUCUAUAUUCAGAACAGUACCUGACAUAUGGGUACUGCUCCAAGACAUUGUUGUUACUGCUGUUGUCAUAAUUAUUAGGUAUGCUAUUGAAAUGACAUUUAGCUCCAGAUAUCAGAUGUUAAAAAAUGUUGAGAUCAUUUAUGACAGAGUAGGACUUUCUAAACGUGUGUCUAUGUGAUACUGAGGCCCUCAUGACAAUUCCUGCUGGCAUCUUGGACUAGUCACUAUCCUGGGUAUUAGUUUGCCCUCCAUAAUUAAUAACACUUCUGUCUUAUCUUUUUUUUUAAUGUCAUGCCUCACACAUGUGUUCUUGCUUAAUCUAAUUACAUUGUAUUACCCUGAAAGUGCCUACUUUUUUAUUGGCAACUUUAACUGCUAGAACAGCCAUUUUCCAAGUUUUGUUUGUAUCACAGAGUCAGAAGAAGGCUGGGGUUGUUUAGAUCCUCUCUGCCAUCAGGUUGAUGCCAAUUCAGUCAACUCAAACAGAUGAGACACUCUUUUAAAGUGCCUCCAGGGAAGGGCACUGCACAUCACACUUUGUAAUUUACGUCAAAAUACUGAAUAAAAUUUUUGUUUCACAAAUAUUUUCAAGUCUUGUUAGCUUUGCUAUUCUUUGCUCUAAGAAGAUUUCUUUUAAGACACUUAAAACAAUUUCUCUAAGGAGUAUCCUGUGCUUUCCUUGGUCUUGAAAUGAUAUCCUCACUGAUUUUUCCUUAGAGUUUAUACUAUCUGUAAUACUCAAAUGACAGAAAACCAGUUCAAACCUAAGAGAUGUAAUAUAUAAUGUAACCAAGAAGAACAGAACUAGGGUGGCUUCAGAUGCUAUUUAAGCCAUGAGUCAUCCAGUAUCACCAGCAUCACAUCCUCUGUGUCAUUUCUCUACUCUCCUCCUUCUGGUGCCAUUCUCCUCCAGUGUUUCUCAUUAUAUAAUAUCCAUAAGAUGCUCCAACUGUUCUUCACUUUAUUCUCAAAUUGCAACUAGAGGGAAAGAGAGAAGCUCAGUAAAACAAAUUAGAUAUUUACAAACAUCAAGUAUAGAAGUGUGAUAGGGAAUUGAUGAUAGGGUGAGUGCUUUAGAUAGGGUAAGUAAUAACUUUUGGAAGGUGUUUUUUAAAGUAAGGACUCAGUGAGAAAACAAGACAUGAAAACUUCCUGAGAAAGAUUGUUCAAAGCAGAAUAAACAGACCAAAGUGUGCUGAGACAAAUAUGGGCUUGACAUAUUCUAGGGUCAAAAAGAAGGCUGGUUGGGCUAGAACUGUAAUUCAGGAAGUUUGGGAGAUGAUAAGGUCAGAGUGGUAGGAUCACAUUUUGUGGAUCCUUGCAGACUAUCACCAAAAGGAGUUUUGCUUUUUAUUUUGUGGUAAAAUAAAGCCACUGGAAUGUUUUCAGCCAGGGAUGAACUAAUUUGAAUUAGCUUUCACAGGCUAAAUUUGGCUGCUCUGAGGAAGAUGAACUAUAGUGGAUGUAUUAAUUUGGUUCCCCCAUACUCCCCAAAGUAGAGACUGAGGCAAGAAUGUGCACAUAGUACAUGCAGAAGAUAAUCGCAGGGAGCCUGAGCAAGAGACCAAAGGAAAAGAAAUAGCUAUAUAAACCAGUAGCCAGUUAUAGCUAUAUAACACCAGUUCAGGUUUCACAAAUAGCCACCUCAUUUUUAACCAGCUCUGAUUAGGUUACUUGCUGUUCUCUGCUCCAGUCACUCACUUAGGGAAAUGCUCUGAUUGAAUGUGACCUUGGGCACACACCUAACUCUAGAGUCAGCAGCCAAGCCUUUCCCAGAGCAUGGGAGCUUAAGUGGGGGAGGAGUGGUGGCCCAGAGGGGAGUUGAGGCACAAUUACCAGAAAAGUGAGGAACGGAUAAUAGAUGCCAUACAUAAUAGAUCAUCUUCAUAGUUAUCUUCCUUGAAAUCUAUAGAAGGUUGUAUCCAAAAACAAUAGUAUCUCGGUCUUUUUUUUUUUUUUUUUUGAUUUUUAAAGUAUAGUUGAUUUACAGUGUUUCUUCAGUUUCUGUUAUAUAGCACAGUGACCCAGUCAUACACAGCUCCCUGUGCUGUAAAGUUAGAAUUUCUUUAUUUCAUUCUUCUAUGAUAUUGAGUGAUGAGCUUUUGAUUUUUAUUGUACUUAAAUAAUUCAGAUGAAAAAGCACAGAUGCACAGCACUGAUGGUAGAAAAAUGUUGAAAAUUGGAAACCUGAUAGAAAGUUUUAAGAAGAUACUCUGCAGGAUUUGAUUAGGUGGCAUUAUUAUAGUAAUUUUUGCUGAGCAAUCGGUUAUAGGCAGGACAUUUAUUUAGCAUUUUAUGGAUCUACGAAAGGAGUCUUAUCUCCUUUCAUAGUGAAAGAAGUGGAAGAAACACAUUAAAUAUUUCAUAUCUCUCAGUUAAUUUGGAUCUGAAUAUAUCAUAAAAUAAUCUUUGAAUUAAUUUCAAUUUCAGAUAUCUUUCAAAGAACCUACCUCUUAUUCUC
rnacentral:lncRNA from 1 species